rnacentral:rRNA from 1 species
ACGUACCGUACGAACGUUAUUCGGAAUCACUGGGCUUAAAGAGUCCGUAGGCGGCCUUAAAGGUGAGGUGUGAAAUCCCACGGCUUAACCGUGGAACUGCGCUUCAAACCAUAAGGCUCGAGGGAGAUAGAGGAAAGCGGAACUGAUGGUGGAGCGGUGAAAUGCGUUGAUAUCAUCAGGAACACCGGUGGCGAAAGCGGCUUUCUGGGUCUCUUCUGACGCUGAGGGACGAAAGCUAGGGGAGCGAACGGGAUUAGAUACCCCGGUAGUCCUAGCUGUAAACGAUGAGCACUAGUUCGAGGGGACCCCCACAUCCUCUUGGACGUAGCGAAAGUGUUAAGUGCUCCGCCUGGGGAGUAUGGUCGCAAGGCUG